GACGAACGCCGGCGGCGUGCUUAACACAUGCAAGUCGAACGGAAAGGCCUGCUUUCCCUUGUGGAUUGCGGGUACUCGAGUGGCGAACGGGUGAGUAACACGUGAGUGAUCUGCCCCCAACUUGGGUAUAAGCCUGGGAAACUGGGUCUAAUUCCCGAUAGGACUGCAGGGUGGUGCCUGUGGUGGAAAACGAUUUUCUAGUGGUUGGGGAUGAGUUCGCGGCCUAUCAGCUUGUUGGUGGGGUAAUGGCCUACCAAGGCGGCAACGGGUAGCCGGCCUGAGAGGGUGGACGGCCACAUUGGGACUGAGAUACGGCCCAGACUCCUACGGGAGGCAGCAGUGGGGAAUAUUGCACAAUGGGCGGAAGCCUGAUGCAGCGACGCCGCGUGGGGGAUGACGGCCUUCGGGUUGUAAACUCCUUUCGACCGCGAGGAAGCCACCUGGUUGGAAGGGUGGUGACGGUAGUGGUAGAAGAAGCACCGGCUAACUACGUG
rnacentral:rRNA from 1 species